UACGUAGGGACCAAGCGUUGUUCGGAUUUACUGGGCGUAAAGGGCGCGUAGGCGGCUUGUCAAGUCACUUGUGAAAUCUCUGGGCUUAACCCAGAACGGCCAAGUGAAACUGUCAUGCUAGAGUGCAGAAGGGGCAAUCGGAAUUCUUGGUGUAGCGGUGAAAUGCGUAGAUAUCAAGAGGAACACCUGAGGUGAAGACGGGUUGCUGGGCUGACACUGACGCUGAGGCGCGAAAGCCAGGGGAGCAAACGGG
rnacentral:rRNA from 1 species